UGAGAUUUGUUCGUCCACUUCCUGCCCUUUGUUUUCCGUUGGCGAUUUUAUGAAUGGAAGCCGCGGCAGAUCUAAGCCACAGCUGGUUUACGUGUUGCAUGGUGGCAAUAGACCAAAUGUAAGGAUCGUUUGUGCAGUCACACGUCAAAUAUUGGAACAUUAUUGAGAGUUGAACACAUGAUGCAUCGUUUAGGAGGUAGUAGUUUUAUUAUCCGACGAUCGCGUGGCCAUGUGUAUUUAACACGUGUUUACUGACCAUGUUGUUGUUUUUUUUUUUUUUUUGUAAAUAAAUCAAAAUAACGGAUGGUAGAGGUAUUAUUUUUAUUUUUAUUUUUAAAAAUAAAGUUUUAAAUGGUUUUUAAUGAUUUUAAUGUUUUUCUUGAAUGUUUUAUUUCUUUUCAAAUGUUUUGGGUAUGUAAUUUCUUUUUGUAUUGUAAAAUAUUUAUUUUUAGUAAUGGAUUGUUUUCCCUUACAGGGAUGCACGAUUACCGUUUAUUUUAGGUUGAAUUAUUGUUGAGCUUUAUUGAUUUAUUGGAUUAUUGUUUUCUUUUUGGUUGGAUGUUGGACCAGAGUUUGGAACUGAGGUCACAUCAAAGACAAAAAAGGGACUAAGUCAAUCAUUGUUCAUUUUAUCGUGUUGCCUGAUUUGUUCCAUUUGCAUUACCCACUGUUAAUAUUAUUAUUUGUUUUGUUUCUUUGUUGUAGAUUUCUUUUUGACCUGAUGGUGGCUGCAGGGUUGCCUUCACUGGUGGAUGGCGGUGGUGUGGUGGUUUGGUCACUUUAUUUGUCUUUUCUUUUAGGUCUGCAGUGUGAUUUGCCGUGAGCUGACUGCAGUGGGAGAACGUUUGUCUGUACGCCAUUUCUGUCUUCACAACAUAGGUAACCCGUGGCCAUCUGUGGGUUUUGUUAUUUUUAUUUGGUUUAUUUUUGUUAACCUUUUUUUGUGGGUAAUUGCAUUGAAGCUCUGUUGCAUCUGUUUAACAUGUUAAUGUUUUUUUUUCCUUCGUAAUUAUAUUAUUUUCUUUUGAAUAAAAUGUUUGUUUAUUGAAGCUUCA